AUACUCACCUGGUGCCGGGGCCUCGUUGAUCACCGAAGGCGAGCCCCCAGGGCGAGGCGCGGGCAUUGCACUGAGCUCGCGUUGAUCCCUGGCAGUAUCCCAAACUGGGGCAUAUGGGGCAUGCAAAUUUGC
rnacentral:snRNA from 1 species